rnacentral:rRNA from 1 species
UACGAAGGGGGCUAGCGUUGUUCGGAAUUACUGGGCGUAAAGCGCACGUAGGCGGAUAUUUAAGUCGGGGGUGAAAUCCCGGGGCUCAACCCCGGAACUGCCUUCGAUACUGGGUAUCUUGAGUUCGGAAGAGGUGAGUGGAAUUGCGAGUGUAGAGGUGAAAUUCGUAGAUAUUCGCAAGAACACCAGUGGCGAAGGCGGCUCACUGGCCCGGUACUGACGCUGAGGUGCGAAAGCGUGGGGAGCAAACAGG